rnacentral:rRNA from 1 species
CCAAGUUCUUUGGAACAGGACGUCACAGAGGGUGAGAAUCCCGUACGUGGUCGCUAGCCCUCACCGUGUAAAGCCCCUUCGACGAGUCGAGUUGUUUGGGAAUGCAGCUCUAAAUGGGAGGUAAAUUUCUUCUAAAGCUAAAUACUGGCCAGAGACCGAUAGCGCACAAGUAGAGUGAUCGAAAGAUGAAAAGCACUUUGGAAAGAGAGUCAAAUAGCACGUGAAAUUGUUGAAAGGGAAGCGCUUGNAGCCAGACUUGCCUGUAGUUGCUUAUCCGGACUUUUGUCCG